UACGUAGGGGGCGAGCGUUAUCCGGAAUUACUGGGCGUAAAGCGCACGCAGGCGGUUCGCCAAGUUUGGAGUGACAGUUGUCGGCUCAACCGACAAAGGACUUCAAAAACUGGUGAACUUGAGGACGAGAGAGGAACAUGGAACUCCAGGUGUAGUAGUGAAAUGCGUAGAUAUCUGGAAGAACACCAAUGGCGAAGGCAAGUCCCUGGACGACUCCUGACACUGAGGCACGAAAGCUAGGGGAGCAAACAGG
rnacentral:rRNA from 1 species